rnacentral:rRNA from 1 species
UACAGAGGGUGCGAGCGUUAAUCGGAAUUACUGGGCGUAAAGCGUACGUAGGCGGCUUUGUAAGUUAGAGGUGAAAGCCCGGGGCUCAACUCCGGAAUUGCCUUUAAGACUGCAUCGCUUGAAUCAUGGAGAGGUGAGUGGAAUUCCGAGUGUAGAGGUGAAAUUCGUAGAUAUUCGGAAGAACACCAGUGGCGAAGGCGACUCACUGGACAUGUAUUGACGCUGAGGUACGAAAGCGUGGGGAGCAAACAGG